CCUACGGGUGGCAGCAGUGAGGAAUAUUGGUCAAUGGGCGGAAGCCUGAACCAGCCAAGUAGCGUGCGGGAUGAAGGCACUACGGGUCGUAAACCGCUUUUGCACGGGGAUAACACCCUCCACUUGUGGAGGUCUGCAGGUACCGUGCGAAUAAGGGCCGGCUAAUUCCGUGCCAGCAGCCUCGGUAAUACGGAAGGCCCGAGCGUUAUCCGGAUUCCUUGGGCUUAAAGGUAGCGUAGGCGGGCGUUCAAGUCAGCUGUAAAAUCGCGCGGCUCAACCGCGCCCCGCAGUUGAAACUGGACGCCUUGAGUGCACAACAGGCAGGCGGAAUUCGUGGUGUAGCGGUGAAAUGCAUAGAUAUCACGAGGAACCCCGAUUGCGAAGGCAGCCGGCCGGGGUGCGACUGACGCUGAGGCUCGAAGGUGCGGGUAUCAAACAGGAUUAGAUACCCGAGUAGUC
rnacentral:rRNA from 1 species